rnacentral:rRNA from 1 species
AACGAACGCUGGCGGCAUGCCUAACACAUGCAAGUCGAACGGGACCACCGGGAGUACUUGCGCAUGGGUGUGUCACGUGUCGGAACCUGCCCUUAGGCUUCGGAUAAUUCUUUGUAAGGGGUGCUAACAUAGGGUAACGUACUCUGACAAAAGAUAUAUCGUCCGUGGGAGGGCAGGCGAUGGUCUAACCGGUUGGUAGGGUAAAAGCCUACAAAGGCGACGCUCCAUAGCGGGGCAGAGAGGAGGGUCAGCCACACUGGGACGGAGAUACGGCCCGGACUCCUACGGGAGGGAGCAGAGGGGAAUAUUGGACAAUGGGCGAAAGCCUGAUCCAGCAAUGCCGCGUGAGUGAUGAAGGCCGUAGGGUUGUAAAGCUCUUUUACCCGGGAUGAUAAUGACAGUACCGGGAGAAUAAGCGCCGGCUAACUCCGUG